UGGGGAAUAUUGGGCAAUGGGCGAAAGCCUGACCCAGCAACGCCGCGUGAAGGAAGAAGGUCUUCGGAUUGUAAACUUCUUUUAUGAGGGACGAAGGACGUGACGGUACCUCAUGAAUAAGCCACGGCUAACUACGUGCCAGCAGCCGCGGUAAUACGUAGGUGGCAAGCGUUAUCCGGAUUUACUGGGUGUAAAGGGCGCGUAGGCGGGAGUGCAAGUCAGAUGUGAAAUCUAUGGGCUUAACUCAUAAACUGCAUUUGAAACUGUAUCUCUUGAGUGCUGGAGAGGUAGAUGGAAUUCCCUGUGUAGCGGUGAAAUGCGUAGAUAUAAGGAAGAACACCAGUGGCGAAGGCGAUCUACUGGACAGUAACUGACGCUGAGGCGCGAAAGCGUGGGGACAAACAGGAUUAGAUACCC
rnacentral:rRNA from 1 species